rnacentral:rRNA from 1 species
UACGUAGGGUGCAAGCGUUAAUCGGAAUUACUGGGCGUAAAGCGUGCGCAGGCGGUUGUGCAAGACAGAGGUGAAAUCCCCCGGGCUUAACCUGGGAAUGGCCUUUGUGACUGCACGGCUAGAGUGUGUCAGAGGGGGGUAGAAUUCCACGUGUAGCAGUGAAAUGCGUAGAGAUGUGGAGGAAUACCGAUGGCGAAGGCAGCCCCCUGGGAUAACACUGACGCUCAUGCACGAAAGCGUGGGGAGCAAACAGG